ACUGAUUAGUUUCAAGAACUACAAUUAUAAAUUAUUCCAACUCAAUAUUCUUUAUUUUUAACAACAAAAACUUAAAUAAUUGAGUAAAUUGCCCUGUGCAAGUGCUCAUGGGAAGUCUGGUGUAACAUCAGAGACAAGAAGGCUGUGAAGAUGUGAAAAUGGACAUGAAGCACCUGGAACAUUCUGGAACAUUCCUUACAAAUCCUGCACCAACACCACUAAUGAAGAGAAGUUGAAUGGAGAUAAAACAGGAGGUGCCAGUUUAUGGGAUGGCGGUGUAAGCUCUGCACAUUUGUCGUAUCAUCAAAAGGAAUUUCGAUCAUUAUCGAGUGAAGCAUGGUACUGUUGGUCAUGGAUAUUUAGUGUCCUGUCUUCAUUUAGACUGUCAUUGCUUCUUUAAGACCUGAGAAGGUCUGCACACACAUUUGUAUGGAUCCCACAGUUUGCAGGAAACUGAAGUGUGAAGGUGUGCAAUC